rnacentral:lncRNA from 1 species
UCUCUGUGUAGCUUUGGAGCCUAUCCUGGCACUCGCUCUGGAGACCAGGCUGACCUUGAACUCACAGAGAUCUGCCUGCCUCUGCCUCCCGAGUGCUGGGAUUAAAGGCGUGCACCACCACCGCCCAGCUGAGCCUGCGUGUAACUUAGAGACAGGCUCAAGACAAUUUGCCAGGGUCCUUUCAAGAGCUCCGGGUGGCAGGGGUAAGGGACUGGAGGUGUCAUUUAGAAAGCCCCCUGAGGGGCGUGGUCAGUGGUAUUGGUGCUGACUUUCUAUUAUUUAGUAAGCUUGCUCCCAGGUUAGCGAUCUCGAACACCUAACACUGCUGCCCAAGACUCUCUGGCAUUCAGGGUAUGCAUCCCCCAUCUUCUCCCUUUGGGGAUGUUUUUGAUUACUCCUAGAGGCAAUUAAAAAUGACUGCUCAUGCCCAUGAUGUUAUCUUAACUUAAUUUGGAUUCUGUGCCGUGGAUUUUGACUGCUAGGAAGCCGAUGCCUUUUCAUCUAAGUAGAAAGAAUAUGGGAAUAUUUCUGCCUUGCCCUUCACAUUUGAUUGAUACUUUUCACUUUGGAAGCUAAUUAUAACUGAUGUGAAAGAAAAAUGGAAUUCAGAAAUAUGGGUUCUCUUUAUGAAUUUUCACUCUGAAAAUUCAGGUCAUCUGGUUAGUUUUCCCAUACCUCAGUUUACUCGUCAGCUGACAACUUGCUGUGGGUGUUAGUCAUCUUUCUGCGCUGUGUCAAAAUACCUGGGAAAAUAAACUUUAAAAGGAGAAAGGUUUAUUGGUUUAUGAUUCCAGAAGUCUCAGUCUGUUGUCGCUUGGCCCUGUUUCCCUUGGGCCACAGUGAGGCAUGGCGGAUGGUGUCUGGGAGGUGGAGAGGGGACACAGGAAAGAGGGACGGAGAAUGGACAGAUGCAGAAAACAGAAGUGACCUAACACUAAGCCCUGCCUCCCAAAAUGUGUCUGUCCAAUAGCAUGGGGCUGGUGACACAUGGCUUUUGGGGACAUCUCAUUUCUAAGCCAUAACCCUUACCUAGCUAUGGUGUUAUUCUUUCUGACUUCCAAACAGAGCAAGCUAUGGGUCUGACUCACUAUAACCCAUGUCUGUCUAACAGAAUCCCAGCCUGUUAAGGACCUCUAAGGUCAACCUGUCUGACCCCCUUACUCAUAGCAGGAAUGUUCAUGUCAUCCCUGGAAAGUGGUAGGCAGUCCCAGGCGUAUUCUUCCUCAGACUGGAGACCUCUGUAGUCAAAGCAUUCAUUUCAUCUUUAAAUUCACACUGUUGUUGAACAUUCCUCCUAUCUGAGGCGUCCUCCGACGCUCUCUACCUAUGUGCAGAAGCUCUGCUCUCUGAAGGAGAGGAAAACAGACGGUCUCUUUUUGCUAUCACAGCCGUUCAGGUCUGAAGGCUCUUUUAUCGGCAUUUUUUGUAAGUUGUUUGAGGUACAUGGAAGAAGAGCAUUUUGAGAAAGGUAAAUGUACCAUUGCUUUGUGGUGGUUGCUCCUGCUAUUGGUGAAUUCUCAGUUAAACAAACAAAGAUGUGUUCCAGUGAAUCGGGAAACCUGUAGGGUGCACUUGUUCAAUACAUUAGGUUUCUGAGAUGGAGGUAACCCCAUUUCAGAUUUACACAUCACUACAUCCUGCCUGGAUGAUGAUUUUCCUCUCAUCUGGAGUGUUUACACAGCUAAUGAGGUUGCUGCAUUUUAAAGACUACCCAGGAAGCAAGGGACCUACGAGUCUGUUUAAGAUUCUUAGUGGGAUCCUUUGGCUCUGUUUAUAGAUAUUAACACUUGACAUCAAGAGUCAAUAGUACUAGUUAGGAAGGAUUUCUUGUAGAGUAAAUCUUUACCUCAUUCACUUGUUCAACACAUGUUUGUUGAGUGGCUGUUGUAUGUCAUGAACUGUUGUAGACAUUCGUGUUAUGUAAGUAACAACAACAAAAACAGAUGCAAGCCCCUGUUCGUGUAAUGCUGAUGUUCUGGAAAGGGAUAUUUUUAUAAUGUGUCAUGACAUUAUAAUACAUAAAUUGCAUUGCAGGUUAAAAGAUGGCUUGGUUAAGGUGUAUCUUAGAGGUAGAGCACUUUGUCUACUGUCUGGGGCGAGGCCUGGAGCUUUCCCCAGCACCAGAAAAAAGUUAAAAGAGAUGUUGGGGGCUAGCUGUUGGAAGCAGGUCUGAGAAGACGCCUUGGAAGACUAUGUCUACACCUGGUUCCAGCUUCUCUCUAAUUCCUGGUCUGCUGGGAUGUGGGAGCUGCAGACUCCCACCACCAUGCACUAUGCGGUGCUGUCCCUCAGUCCCCAGCAAUGGACUGAGACCUUGGAAACCAUGAGCCAAGAUGAAGCUUUCCCUCCUUCCGUUGUCUUGGUCACGGAGAUGCAACAGCAUCUGACUCACUCGAGUGGUAGAUAGGACAUCACUUGCCAUUCCAAAGCAUUCAAGAUGAAGGAUGGAGUCUUUAUCAGCACAGAUAAUCUUUUCAGGGACUCAAGGUCUACUGAGAGAGAGAGAGCUCAGCUAUUAGGAGUAUCAUAGGACAGCUGUCUGGGCACUGACAUGAGUUCUGGGUGCUUAACUGUGAGGAAAUUAUAGAGGACCAGAUUGCUGGUGGGACUUAGUUCAUAGAGAGGCAGAAUGGGAUGAGUGGAAUCCCUCUCACCUCCACAUGUGAUGCUUUUUCUCUCAAGGGCUUGUGAUUUCAGAGUCCAGUCCUAGACACAGGUGUUUAGGAAUCUAUAAUAAUGGAUGAGAAUUGAAAACUUUAUUGGCCUCCAAAGAAAACGAUUAAAUUGAAUUAAUAAAAUUUUAAUUUGUGGAAAUGGCAUCAUAAUGAUAUAGUUAAUUGCUAAGCUUAGUACAGUUGUCCUUUAGUGUCCAUGGGGGACCUGCUCCAGGACCACUCCCACAUCUGAAUCAGUAGACACUCCCAUGCUGUACAAAAUGGAGAAAUAUUUGCAUAUAACCUGCACAAUCCCCAAAUAAUUUAAAUCAUCUCUAGAUGACUUUAAGCACUCACUGCAGUGUGAAAGUGAUAUUGAAAUAAUUAUUUUACUGCAUUGCUUAGGGGAUAAUGUAAAAAAUUAAAAUAAAACCCAUAUGAGUUCACUACAGAUACACUUUCUCCCAAGUAUUUUUCUAUCCAACAUGGGGGCAGAACCUCCAGAUAUGGGCAACUGUUAAUCAAAUGACACAUUUGAAACCAACGGAAUCUAUAGUUUUCUUCCUUUCCUACAAGAAUUCCUAAGCAGGCGCAAGAACUGCCAGCGAGCUGCUGCCAAUCACCAUUUAAACUACUCAUAGCCAAAACAUUUCAAAAGCAAAAAUUACCAUUUUAAAAUGUACUUCUGAGACAAAAAAAAAAGUUCUUGCUAGAUUGGACAGGAGAUGUGGGGUUAGGGUCCAGAACUGAGAAGUUGUCAGCAAGGUUAUGACAAGCAUUUGCCCAAUAUGCGCAGCCAGGCAGGCAAAGGUGGAACAGCAGGUCACUGCAGAGCCCCAGGUUAGGAAAGCCUUGUUGCUCCAGCUUCCUGUGGGCACCCCUGCCCACCCCCCCUGCACACCGUGGCCUCGUUCAUUUACUUCAGUAACUCUUUUUCUGGAACAAAUUCUCCCCUAGCAAUCCCUUUCCAGAGUACUACAGUAACAAGAGAUCUGGAAGACUUUGAUUGAUGGGGUUUGAAACACGCUUUCUUUUUGGCAAUAUUUAUAUUUGAUCCCUUUUGGACUGGCUGCACAUAACUAGAGCUUAUCACAUUGCUGGAAAUUAUGGGAAGACUCGGAGGCACAGGAACCCUGAGCCUGCCGAGCCCCGAGAGAACAAAGAUUAAUACCGGUUUCUGCUUCUCUGCCCUGACCUCUGGUAUCUGUAAAUAACGGUUGGAAAGAUGGGGCACAUCAUGAUCUAUGACAUGGUGUCGGCCAUUCCAGUUGUUCUGUCUUCAGGUGUGAUUUAUCAUUCUCCACAGUGACACAAAUCACAGACCCAGCUUGACAUGCUGGAAUGUUGGACCCACUGACUGCUAUAGCAAUGAACCUGUUUGCAUCCCAACACUUUCAGCCUGAGUUAGACCUAGCCUCUUGCUUCAAUUCAGAAAUAUGCUGCAGAAACAUACUUUGCAAACCCUGUGGUUUUGCUGCUGGCAGGAGCAGCAACUCCUUUCCAACUCUUGAGAGGAAACAAUGAGAAGGAGAAUGAAAGUGAAAUAAUUUAAAUUGAAAUGUUUUCGUAUUUAUUUUAUGGGCUUGUAAGAGAUGGGUUAGCAGUUAAAAGCUGCUCUUUCAGAGGAUCCGAGUUUCAUUCUAGCACACAUAUUGUUGGGCAGCUCACACUACCUGUAACUCCCGCUCCACAGGAUCCAAUGCCUUCUGCUGACAAAUGUUGUUAGGUGAAAUAGCUGCUCUGAGACAAGUUUGUAUGAGUGUAUGUACACAUGAGUGCAGGUGUCUGAUUAUACCAGAAGAGGGCAUUAGACACUUCAGGACUGGAGUUCCUGGCAUUUUUUGGGAUGUUCGGCUUGUUAUAUGGGUGCUGGGAUGUGAACUCCGGUCCUCAUGAUUUCCCAGCAAGGUCUCUUAACCAGUGAGCCAGCCCAAACAAGGUCUAUUGUAGAUGAAAAUUUGUCCUCACUUUUCUUUUUUGCCUGCCUUCCUUUCAGCAUAAAUACUAUGCUGAGUGACUACUGAAACUAGCCCUAUUCCAGCUACCUUCAGAAGCACUAAAUGGAAGCAGGGUAUCAUAGUUCUCUGUCUUGAGACCUGAAACUCAGGCACAUGCUAGUUAGCUCUCUGUCAUAUAUGGAGGGCCAGCAGGUUUCUGUAGGAGAGUGCUUGCCUCUGUGCAGCUAUGUAUUUUUCCCCAAGGUAGGGUAAGCCAUCAAAUUAGAACUCUUCAAUCUGCUCCUCAGUGCAAGCAUCUUCCCUGGAGUGGAUGCCGACAAGAAGAUGUGAGGGGUUCUAUGUGAAAACACCCUAUUUAUUUGGACCUUUUUCCUUUUUCUGAAGGGUGAUACAUGUAACAGUAUAGUGACCUUAGCAAAAAAAAAAAAAAAAAAAAAAACCCGGCAGUGUAUCAUUUCUCUUUGGAAUGACCUUUGUAUUUUAACCCAAAUUAUUACUAUUUAUUUAAAGAAUCUAGGGAUCUCAGAUUUAAAAACAAUUUGGUUAUUCCUCCCUGCUCCUUUGAGGCAGAGACUCACUCUGCAACUGAGGUUGGCCUACCAAGUGCUAUAUAUCCCAGGCUGGCUUCAACUGCCCCACCCUGCCUCAGUCUUGAAAGUGGUGUGAUUGCAUCCAUGUUCCACCACACCCAGUAAUAUUUGAGUUGCAAAGAGUAACAUUUAAAUGGUGCCUUUGAAAGGCUGCAAUUGUAUACUAGAGCAAAAUCUUAAAAAUCAAAAAAAAAAAAUAGUUCUAGUAGCGUGUUUGUUUAGUCAGAAAAGCAGUGCCCUCGCCUGACAGAGCAGUGAGGGGAACUUCUCUCCUCUUGGAUUCCCCCCUCUAUCAGUGGUACUGCCCCCACCCAAGCCCAGCUUGCCUUACUUGAUGCCCUCCCAGACUCCUUGCUUCACUCACAGAUUGCCCCCUAGUUCCCAGUGCCUGUCACUGAGCUGAGAUGACAGAUUUACCCGAGAUGAUAUGCUGAGGCAAUAUGCAUUUGAGCUCACAAGUCCUGGAACCAGCCCCCGUGACACUGCUGAGCCCUGCGGUGACUUCGAGGGCACGAGCUGAGGGUUUGGCUGCAGAUGGACGCUCUGGGUUGCCUCGUGCUUCUGGAAGCCAGUCCUGGCUUUCCUUUGAAUCUGAGGACUUUACUCAUUUUUAUUCAUUUGUGAAGAAGGGACCAUCCAAAUGUUUUAUGAAACCAACACAGGAGAACAUUAAUGGAUCAAAUUUUGCCUUUGAAGAGGCAGAGGUCAGUGUGCGUUUGGGCAGGAGACACGACAUGCCGGGGACAAGUCUGCGCGUGGGUGAGCUUCGUCCCGUGAGCUUCUUUCUAUUCCAGAGGGCUCUGAAGGAGGGUGGAUUUGUAUUCCUGUCUCUCCCUCCCUCAGGAUGAGGCUGUGUGCUUACUGGAAAAACAGAAACAGUGAGAACUCAGCCAUCUUCGGACGGAAAAAGCCCCUUGUUUCUUUUGUCUUUUUAGUGGAACCAGACCAUGAGGACACAAGGGCCAGAGGGAGGCCCUUCCCAUGCCUCUCCCUGUGCUGUGUUACUGCUCACCUGAGUGUGGAACUACACUCUGACAAGAAAGAAGCACAUUAAGUCUUAAUUUAGCCUGAACUAAGCACAUACGUUGAAGCCAGAUUACUUCUACUAGCUUUGCCAAGACUGUGGCCUCUAGGGCAAGACUUCCCUGUUUUCUUAGAAUUUUGAAAUGCCACCUUCAGCUCAGUAGGGCAGUAUGCUCCUGUGAUACCAGGGAUCGGGAAGCAGAAGAACAAUUGUGAGUUCAAGGCCAGCCCAGGCAACACAGCACCCUAGACUCCAUCUCAUAAAACAACAACAAAACAAAGACAUCUCAAAUCAUAGCAACCCAACAACAAAUGAAAAACCCCUGUUACCACUCAUGCUAUUUACCACUCAGAUCCACUAAAAAAGAUUCUCCAAGACUGGGGGCUUGACCAAGAGUUAAGAACAUUAGCUGCUCUUGCAGAGGACCUAGGUUCAAUUCCCAGCACUUACAAGGUAGCUCACAACCAUCUGUAACUCCAGUCCAGGAGGAUCUGAUGCUUUCUUUUGGCCUCUGUACCCACAUGGUGUGUAGAUAUGCAUGCAGACAAACCACUAUACACAUAAAAUAAAACUAAGGGAAAUAAAUCUGUCUUGUGUACACACACAUGAAGACUACUGUUUCACUCACCACAUAUUCUAUACUUGUUCUAAAGAUAUAAGCAUUUUGUUGUCUUUCCUGAGUCCACUCCUCUCACUGAUAUUUGC